UAUAUAUAUAUAUAUAUAUAUCACAGUUUCUUUAUCCAUUCAUUUAUUGAAGGGCAUCUAGGUUGCUUCCACGGUUUAGCUAUUGUGGAUUGAGCUGCUAUGAACAUUGAUACUCCUACGUUACUAUAGUAUGCUGAUUUUAAGUCCUUUGGGUUUAGACCCUGGAGUGGGAUAGCUGGGUCAAAUGGUGGUUCCAUUCCAAGUUUUCUAAGGAAUCUACAUACUGUUUUCCAUAUUGGUUGCACCAAUUUGCAGUCCCACCAGCAAUUUAUGAGUGUGCCUUUUCCCCCACAUCCUCACCAAUACUUACUGUUGUUUGUAUUCUUGGUAACUGCCUUUCUGACAGGAAUGAGAUGAAAUCUUAGAGUAGUUUUGAUUUGCAUUUCUCUAAUUACUAGAGAUGUUGAACACUUUUUCAUAUAUUUGUUGAUUGUGUAUCUUCUGUGUAGUGUCUGUUCAGCUCCUUAGCCCUUAUAUUGAUCGUGUUGUUUGUUUUUUGGGUGUUAAGUUUUUUGAGUUCUUUAUAUAUCCUAGAGAUAUGUGCUCUAUCUGAUAUGCGUAUGGCACAAAUUUACUCCCAAAAUGUAGGCUCUCUGUUCACUUCAAUGAUUGUUUCUUUUGCUGAGAAGAAGCUUUUUAGUUUGAAUCCAUCCCAUUUCUUGAUUUCUUGAUUUUAUUUCUUGCACUUUAGGAGUCUUGUUAAGGAAAUCGAGGCCUAAUCUGAUGUGAUGAAGAUUUGGGCCUAGUUCUUCCUCUGUUAGGCGCAGGGUCUCUGGGCUAAUUCCUAGGUCCUUGAUCCACUUUGAGCUGAGUUUUGUGCAUGGUGAGAGAGAGGGGGUUUAGUUUCAUUUUGCUGCAUAUGGGUUUUUAGUUCUCCCAGCACCAUUUGUUGUUUUUGGUGCCUUUGUCUAGUAUGAGAUGACUAUAUUUAUGUGGGUUUGCCUCUGUGUCCUCUAUUCUGUACCCUUGGUCUACAUGUCUGUUUUGGUGCCGAUGCUGAUUCUGUUACUAUAGCUCUGUAGUAUAGUUUAAGGUCUGGUAUUGUGAUGCUUCCUGCUUCACUUUUCUUGCUAAGGAUUGCUUUGGCUAUUCUGGGUCUCUUAUUUUUCCAAAUAAAUUUCUUGAAUGCUUUUUCUAUUUCUAUAAGGAAUGACGUUGGGAUUUUAAUUGGAAUCGCAAUGACUCUGUAUAGUGCUUUGGGUAGUAUAGCCAUUUUGACAAUGUUAAUUCUGCCUACUCAGGAGCAUGGGAGAUCUUUUCAUCUUUCAAGGCUUCUUCUAUUUAUUUCUUUAAUGUUCUGUAGUUUUCUUUGUAGAGGUCUUUAACCUCAUUUGUUUAUAUUUUAUUUUUUGUGAAGCUAUUGUGAAUGGGGUAGUUUUCCUAAUUUCUCUUUCAGAGGAUUCAUCACUGAUGUAUAAAAAUGCUUUUGAUUUAUGGGUUUUGAUUUUAUAUCCUGAUACUUUGCUGAAUUCAUUUAUUCUAGAAGUUUAGUGGUGGAGUUUUUUGGAUUCUCUAAGUAUAGAAUCAUGUCGUCUACAAAUAAUGAUAGUUUGAGUUCUUUUCCUAUUCAUGCCCCUUUAAUUUCUUUUGUCUAAUUGGUCUUGCUAGAGUUUCAAGGACUGUGUUGAGUAGAAGUGGUAAAAGAGGGCAUCCCUGUCUUGUUGCAGUUUUUAAAGGGAAUGCUUCCAGUUUUUCUCCAUUUAGAAUAAAGCUGGCCUUGGGUUUAGCUACUUGUUAAAUUUGGUUUCCUCAUGUUUUCCCUGAGUUAUUUUAUAUUCUUUUAUUUCCAAUAUUUCUAUUUGGUUCUUUUAAAAUAUUUCUAACUCCUUAUUGAAUUUCUUAUUCAUAGCUUUUAUGAUGUUGAGAAUGUUCCUAGUAUCCCUAGAUUUUCUAGUGUUUUGAACGUGAAACGGUGCUGUAUUUUGUCAGAUGCUUUCUCUGAAUCAAUUGAUGUAAUCAAAUGAUCCUGUAAGUUUAUUGAUGUAAUGAAUUAUGUUUAUUGAUUUCCGUAUGUUGAAUCCUUGCAUUCCUGUAAUGAACCCAACUUGAUCAUGGCGCACUAUUUUUUUUAAUAUGUUUUUGUAUGCGAUUUGCCAGAAUUUGUUGAAAAUUUUUGUAUCUAUGUUCAUCAGGGAUAUUGGUCUGAAAUUUUCUUUCCUUGAUGUGUCUGUGCCUAGUAUCAUCUAUCAGGAUGAUACUAGCCUCAUACAAUUAGUUUAGAAGAGUUCUCUCCUUUUCUAUUUCAUGGAAUAAUUUGAGGAGUAUUGGUAUUAAUUCUUUUUUGUAGGUCUUGUAAACUCAGCUGUGUAUCUGUCUGGUCCCAGGCUUUUCUUGGUUGGUAGGCUUUUGAUGGUGUCUUCUAUUUCCUUGCUUGACAUUGAUCUGUUUAAAUUGUGUAUGUCUUCCUGACUCAGUUUGGGUUGAUCAUGUGCCUAUAGAAAUUCUUGUAAGAUUGUUCCCUUACUGGUAUGAAAUGACAUUCUUUGUCUCUUCUGAUUUUUUUGUUUGAAGUCUCCUUUGUCACAUAUCAGAGUAGCAACUCCUGUUUGUUUUGGGGUUCCAUUUGCAUGGUAUUUCAGUUUAUACGUUUUCACUUUCAACCUGUGGUUGUCUUUGCCUGUAAGGUGCAUCUCUUGCAAACAUCGUAUAGUUGAGUCUUGUUUUAUAAUCCAUUUCUGCCAUCCUAUGUCUUAUCUUAAUUGGAGAGUUGAGACAAUUACAGGGAGAUAUUUAUUAAUUCCUACUGUGUUGAUUUGUUUAUCAUAUUUAAUUUGAUCAUGUUUCUCAUUUAUUAGCUAUUUUUCAAAUUAGCUUUGUUCAUUUUUGAACCCCAGGGUUCGUUUUUCAUUUCUUCUGUGUGGAGUAUUUUAUUAGGUUCUGUGGUGCUGGUUUAGUUGUCAUGAAUUCUUUUGGUUUCUGCUUAUCUUGGAAGGCUAUUAUUUUGCCUUCGAUUUUGAAGGAUAACUUUGCUAGAUAUAGCAGUCUUGGUUGACAAUUCUUUUCUUUCACGACUUGGAACACAUCAUUCUAAGUCCUUUGGCUUUUGGAGUUCAUGCUGAGAAGCUGGAAGUGAUUCUGAUAGACUUGCCUCUAUAUAUGACCUGUUUUUUACUCUUGAGGCUUUUAAAAUUCUGUCCUUGUUCUGUGCGCUAGGUAUUUUAAUUGUAAUGUUUCAUGGAGAGGUUCUUUUUAGAUCUUGUCUAUUUGGGGUUCUGAAUGCCUCUUGUAUCUUGAUGUCCAUCUUAUUCUCAAGAUUUGGAAAUUUUUCUAUUGUUAUUUCCCUGAAUAGGUUAUCAGUUUGUUUAUUCUGCAUCUUACAACCCUUCUCCAUGCCAGUGAUUUUUAAAUUUGGUUUCCUCAUGUUGUCCCUGAGUUAUUUUAUAUUCUGAUUGUACUUACUUAUUUCUUUUUUCUUUAUGCUGUCUGAAUGUUCAAGACUGGCCACUUUGUCUUCUAACUCUUGAGAAUCUGUCUUUAGCAUGGUCUACUCUAUUAGACUUUCAACUGAACAUUUUAUUUGAUUUAUAGUGACUUUUAUUUCCAAUAUUUCUAUUUGGUUCUUUUAAAAUAUUUCUAACUCCUUAUUGAAUUUCUUAUUCAUACCCCAUACUCACUUUUUCAAUGCAUUCAGUUAUUUUUCUAUGUUCUCUUGGAAUUCAUUCGUCAUUUUUAUAAUGAUUAUUUUAAAUACCUUAUCUGAUAUUUCAUCACCUUCAAUAUCUUCAUGGUCAGUGCUGGUGAAUUAUGAACUUUAGGAUGUGUCAUGUUACCUUGGUUUUUCAUAUUUCUUGUAUUUCUGUGUUGAGUUUUAUUCUUCUCUUGGAUGGUAUUUCUCUUCCACCCUUAUGGGCCAUUUUAGGGUAUAUUCUUUAGUUGCCAAAGUAUCCUAGAGUGAUCUAGAUUGAGACCUCUUAGUAGGUGUGGUAUCCAUAGCCUUUGCAUUAUUUCUGUAUUUUUGCUGUAGCAAUGGAUGUCCAUAGGUGGGACCUGGGGGCUCAGCCAUAGUUGUUUCUGCUUGGGGCCUGGUUGUUAGUUUUGGUCUCUGUCUCUUCUAUUCUUUGUAUUAAAGGAUGCUGAAGAUUGUCAUUAAUUUGUGUAGGGAGCAAGGUGCACUGUCUUUUGAUUCAAUUGAAUUCAGUAUCAGAAUUUCUACUCUGUGAACUUGUACUGCCCUGUGAGGUUCCCAGCACCUCACAGAAUAGAGCAAAAGUAACAAUAGCAACAACCAAUGUGAAUGAUAUAUAGCAUUAAAAUAAAUAGCCAGUCCCUACUAUGACAGCUACAACACUAAUUACCCCCCCCCACACACACACACACACAAACACAAACCAAGGAUGGCAGAGUCAGCAAUUGUCAACAGUAAAGACAACAACCAUGAACUAGAUCUGACUUUAAAGCAAACAUCAGGUGUCAAUUAUGUAAUCCACAGCAGUAAUAAUUGUAUUGACACUAAUGGUUGGGGAAGGAGUUAUAUAAAUCAGUUCUAAAAGAUGGUUAAAAUAUAGUUAACUAAGAGAAAAGAAAAUGUUAGGAAGAUAGAAAAUAAUUUGCAGUUUCAAAAAAUGAACAGAAACAAGGCAGAAGAGAUGUAGCAGGUGAUGGUUGCAAGGAAGAAAAAGACAAAUAGAAACAAAGUGAAGGGGGAGAGUGAGUGAGUGAGUGAGUGAGAGAGACAGAGAGAGAGUGAGUGAGAGAGAGAGAGAGAACAAGAACAAUAGAAUUAGGCUGUUAGCAGGGGAAGAAAAGAGAGAAAGAGCCAUAAAACAAACAAAUGAAAUCUAAACAAGACAAAACCCCAAAGCAUACAAACCAACCCCCCCUUAUCCUCAAAGGACAAGGCAAGAAAUAAUAGGUACAUUUAAAAAUGGUAAAAAUGAAAAAAGAAACAAAUAAGUAUAUAUGUCCCUAACCCAGUCAGCACAGCAAGAACACACACAGACAGCAAAGAAGAAAGGAAUGAAGGUAAAGGAAAUUAUUCUUUUAUUUAUUUAUUUUUUAGUUAUAGUUAAACACAAUACCUUUAUUUUAUUUAUUUAUUUAUAUGUGGUGCUGAGGACCAAUCCCAGGGCUCGCACGUGCUAGGCAAGUGUUCUACCACUGAGCCACAACCCCAGCCUGAAAGGAAAUUAUUCUUAAUGAAAAAUGAGAGAAUCAUCUCCACUGAUGUGAUCAGAAUAGUCAAUGAGAAUGGAUGGUCACUGCCUAUGUCCAACUCUUUUUCUUUCUGUUUCUUUUUGAGCUAUUUACUGAGAACCAAAGUAAGGUCUGGGGGUUGUUAACCUCUUUCUCUUUUGAUGUUGCUCUCUGAUCUGUCAGUUGGAGUAGCCUCAGACUGAAUCUGGUUGAAAUAAGUCUCACUUCCCUUCUUAUCAGCAUGAGGUAGGAUGGGAUGGGAAUUACUAUCAGGUGGAGUUUUGUCCUCACAGACAGAUCAGUGCAUUCCCAGGGUGGGCCUACUGUAGAGUUCUAUGAGUAAGGUGGGCUUUAGUUUAAUCAGGCCUCAGGAGCUUGGUUGGGGGGUGUCUCCUCUGGAGAGAUUAAACAACACACCCCUAGGGCCUGGCAGUUACAGAUCUCUAUUGGGGGUCUAGAUCUCAGAAACCUCCCAGGAAUUCACUGAGGACAAGAGAGCCAAUCCUCCACACAUUCUGCUGCUGGGGACCAGCCAUCACAGGCUAGUCCCUGAUUAUAUUCACACCCACCUGUUCAGAUUCCAGACUCACUUGAGCUUGUUAUAUGAGCUGACAGACUCACAGAAAAAGUGAGUAGGGCUCCCUUUCACUUUUCCAACUCAAAUCCCCCAGGGUACAAUCUUCUCUGUGCCUGUUUCACUCACCUUCUGCUAUGUACUUCCUAGGCUACGUGAUAUGUAGGCACUGUAAGGUCAGGCAGUGGUGACCAAAAAAAGGCAGAUUUAAAAGGCUGCUGAUUUGGUGCCAGUACCAUGCUGUUUUUGUUACUAUUGCUCUGUAGUAUAGUUUAAGGUCUGGUAUAGCGAUACCACCUGUUUCACUCUUCCUGCUUAGAAUUGCUUUAGCUAUUCUGGGUCUCUUCAAAUUAGUACAGCCAAUUUGGAAAGCAGAAUGGAGAUUCCUUGGAAAGCUGGGAAUGGAACCACCAUUUGACCCGGCUAUUCCUCUUCUCGGACUAUACCCAAAGGACCUAAAAACAGCUUACUACAGGGACACAGCCACAUCAAUGUUAAUAGCAAUACAAUUCACAAUAGCUAAACUGUGGAGCCAACCUAGAUGUCCUUCAGUGGAUGAAUGGAUAAAAAAAAUGUGGCAUUUAUACACAAUGGAAUAUUACUUAGCACUAAAAAAGAAUAAGAUCAUGGCAUUUGCAGGGAAAUGGAUGGCAUUAGAGAAGAUUAUGCUAGGUGAAGUUAGCCAAUCCCAAAAAAACAAAUGCCGAAUGUUUUCUCUGAUAUAAGCGGGGUGACUCAAAGUGGGGUAGGGA
rnacentral:lncRNA from 1 species